ensembl:lncRNA
GCAUAAUGUUCUGAAUUUCUCUUUUUUUCAAGGAAGGACUGGCUGCCCAGCUGGAGGGAGUUCAGUCAUCAGAUAGCCUCAAGGCAUCAGCUAUAACAGGGUUUGUCUCAGCUGCCAAGAUCUGUCUUGCCUGAGGUCAAGUAAUUCUUUCUGGGUGACCCACUGACGCUGCUGACUCCGUGUUUCCCUAUCUGACAGUGUGGGGCUGGAUGGCCUCUGGCUGUCAUAUUUUGAGCCUUCGUCCCAUGCCAGGUCCUGAGCUGCUACUGAGGCAACCAGCAGUUUGUGGACUCUCACCAGCACAUGCAGAACCAACAUGGCCAUGCUUCUGGCAGAUCAUGCUGCAGACCUCUCAUCUCCUCUCUGGGGUUUUCUGCUGUAUAUGUACAUGUGCAGUUCAGUGCCCAGCUCAGAAGCAUGCAGGAGUUAACACACCUGAUGAGAGAGGCAAGAAAUGGAGCUUUCUCAUCCCUAUGUUUUGACUUCUUGCUUCCUGUGCCAGUGAAUAUAUAAUCAGAUACAAUUGUGCCUGAAAUCAUGCAGAAAUCCUAGGUAACACUCCCAGAGAGAACCAGAUCUCAAAAUUAGGAAACAACCUCCUUUAGGAUUCCUUUAGAAUUACACCUUCACUGAUCUUUAAUGAGGGAUCCUUAAAGGCAGGACUAAAGUGAACUUGUUUGCAGUAGCUUAAAAAUGGUUGCAAAUUCUCUAUUACCCUGACCACUGAGAGGUGGAAGCUACAUUAUCUCCCUGGAAUCUCUGUUCACCUUGUGAUUUACCUGACCAAUUCAGAGAAAAUGACACUCUGAGACUCUCAAAGCAAUAUCAUAAGAAGUCUUGCAGCUUCUGCCCUCAUCUCUCGGGACACUCUUUCUAAGUGCCUUGAAUUGUGAUUUAAGAAGUCUGCAUGACAGGGCGCUCAGGGC